rnacentral:tRNA from 1 species
GGCAAGAUGGCCGAGUGGUCUAAGGCGUGUGACUCAAGCGUCUAGCUUGCCAGCGUUGGCUGGUUUCUCAUAGGGCAACCUGCGUGGGUUCGAAUCCCACUCUUGUCA